rnacentral:rRNA from 1 species
AGAGUUUGAUCCUGGCUCAGGAUGAAUGCUGGCGGCGUGCCUAACACAUGCAAGUCGAGCGGCAGCGAGUUUUACACUGAAUUCUGGAAGCUUCUAGAUAAUAUAGAAGAUUUAUUCAAGAAUUUUGUGUAAAAUGUCGGCGAGCGGCGGACGGCUGAGUAACGCGUAGGAAUUUGCCCCAAAGUGAGGAAUAACUGCCCGAAAGGGUAGCUAAUGCCGCAUAUGGUCUUCGGAUUAAAGCCUUCGGGCGCUUUGGGAGAAGCCUGCGUUGGAUUAGGUAGUUGGUAGGGUAAUGGCCUACCAAGCCGACGAUCCAUAGCUGGUCUGAGAGGAUGAUCAGCCAGACUGGAACUGAGACACGGUCCAGACUCCUACGGGAGGCAGCAGUGAGGAAUCUUCCACAAUGGGCGAAAGCCUGAUGGAGCAACGCCGCGUGAAGGAUGAAGGCCUUCGGGUUGUAAACUUCUUUUAUGAGUGAAGAAUAUGACGGUAACUCAUGAAUAAGCACCGGCUAACUACGUGCCAGCAGCCGCGGUCAUACGUAGGGUGCAAGCAUUAUCCGGAGUGACUGGGCGUAAAGAGUUGCGUAGGCGGUUUAAUAAGUGAAUAGUGAAACCUGGUGGCUCAACCAUACAGACUAUUAUUCAAACUGUUAAACUCGAGAAUGGUAGAGGUAACUGGAAUUUCUAGUGUAGGAGUGAAAUCCGUAGAUAUUAGAAGGAACACCGAUGGCGUAGGCAGGUUACUGGGCCAUUUCUGACGCUAAGGCACGAAAGCGUGGGGAGCGAACCGGAUUAGAUACCCGGGUAGUCCACGCCGUAAACGAUGGAUACUAGCUGUUGGAGGUAUCGACCCCUUCAGUAGCGAAGCUAACGCGUUAAGUAUCCCGCCUGUGGAGUACGGCCGCAAGGCUAAAACAUAAAGGAAUUGACGGGGACCCGCACAAGCGGUGGAUUAUGUUCUUUAAUUCGAUGAUAACCGAAGAACCUUACCAGGGCUUGACAUCCAGGGAAGGUCUGCGAAAGUAGACUGUGCCUUUUGGAACCCUGUGACAGGUGAUGCAUGGCCGGCGAAGCCGCGAGGUGAAGCAAAUCGCAUCAAAGCUAGUCCCAGUUCGGAUUGUAGGCUGAAACUCGCCUGCAUGAAGUCGGAAUCGCUAGUAAUCGCAAAUCAGCAAGUUG